rnacentral:rRNA from 1 species
CCUACGGGAGGCAGCAGUGGGGAAUAUUGCACAAUGGGGGAAACCCUGAUGCAGCGACGCCGCGUGAGUGAAGAAGUAUUUCGGUAUGUAAAGCUCUAUUAGCAGGGAAGAAGAAAGACGGUACCUGACUAAGAAGCCCCGGCUAACUACGUGCCAGCAGCCGCGGGAAUACGUAGGGGGCAAGCGUUAUCCGGAUUUACUGGGUGUAAAGGGAGCGUAGACGGGUGUGCAAGUCUGAAGUGAAAGCCCAGGGCUCAACCCUGAGACUGCUUUGGAAACUGGGGAGCUAGAGUGCGGGAGAGGUAAGUGGAAUGCGUGGUGUAGCGGUGAAAUGCAUAGAUAUUAGGAGGAACCCCGGUGGCGAAGGCAGCUUACUGGACAGUAACUGACGUUGAGGCUCGAAAGCGUGGGGAGCAAACAGGAUUAGAUACCCCGGUAGUC